UACGUAGGGUGCAAGCGUUGUCCGGAAUUAUUGGGCGUAAAGAGCUCGUAGGCGGUUUGUUGCGUCGGCUGUGAAAUCCCGAGGCUCAACCUCGGGUCUGCAGUCGAUACGAGCAAACUAGAGUGUUGCAGGGGAGACUGGAAUUCCUGGUGUAGCGGUGAAAUGCGCAGAUAUCAGGAGGAACACCGGUGGCGAAGGCGGCCCCCUGGGCCGCGCCUGACGCUGAGACGCGAAAGCGCGGGGAGCGAACGGG
rnacentral:rRNA from 1 species